AAGUCGUAACAAGGUAACCGUAGGUGAACCUGCGGUUGGAUCAUUAAAAAAUAAGAAUUUCUAGACGGUUCCCACUAGUGGAAAAGAACCGUCUGGUAGAUGCGGGUGCUGCUGAGGGAUUACGAUUCCAGAAGCAGCACCUUCACUGCCCCCACACUUUGUGAACUGUACCUGUCUCUGGCGGGCGAACCUCUCUCUCUGUGCGAGAGGUUCAGCAUCCGGGGUCCCUGGUGCGUCAGUGCAAGUCUUUACGGACCUGCACGACACCCGUCGAAAGUGCAUCAACUCUUGUUCUUUCUUGUAUAUGUCUCAACUUUUACACUUGUAUAAAAUAUACAAACAACUUUUGGCAACGGAUCUCUUGGCUCUC
rnacentral:misc_RNA from 1 species